AGAGUUUGAUCCUGGCUCAGAAUGAUCGUUGGCGGCGUGCCUAACACAUGCAAGUCGAGCGAGAAAGUCCCUUCGGGGACGAGUACAGCGGCGGACGAGUGAGCAACACGUGAGUUAUCUGCCUUUUAGUGAAGAAUACCCUCGAGAAAUCGAGGUUAAUGCUGCAUAAGUUCCUUCGGGAAGAAAAGUGGCUUUAUGCUGCUGCUAAAAGAUGAGCUUGCGCGCUAUCAGCUAGUUGGUGAGGUAAAGGCUCACCAAGGCUAUGACGGCUAGCCGGCCUGAGAGGGUGUACGGCCACGCUGGAACUGAGAUACGGUCCAGACUCCUACGGGAGGCAGCAGUGGGGAAUCUUGCGCAAUGGGCGAAAGCCUGACGCAGCGACGCCGCGUGGAGGAUGAAGGUCUUAGGAUUGUAAACUCCUGUCAGGUGGGAAGAAAGAACAAUCUCUAAUACAGAUUGGUGAUGACGGUACCGCCAAAGGAAGCACCGGCUAACUUCGUGCCAGCAGCCGCGGUAAUACGAAGGGUGCAAACGUUAUUCGGAUUUACUGGGCGUAAAGGGUGUGUAGGUGGCAUAUUGUGUCUGUUGUUAAAGACUCCGGCUUACCUGGAGAAGUGCAGCGGAGACUAAUGUGCUAGAGGAUGGAAGAGAGGAGUGGAAUUCCCGGAGUAGCGGUAAAAUGCGUAGAUCUCGGGAGGAACACCAAUGGCGAAGGCAGCUCCUUGGUCCAUACCUGACGCUGAGACACGAAAGCGUGGGGAGCAAACAGGAUUAGAUACCCUGGUAGUCCACGCUGUAAACGAUAAUCACUAGACGUCAGUGAAGGGUAGCUCAGUUGGUUUCGAAGCUAACGCGUUAAGUGAUUCGCCUGGGGAGUACGUUCGCAAGACUUAAACUUAAAGGAAUGACGGGGGGUCCGCACAAGCGGUGGAACAUGUGGUUUAAUUCGACAAUACGCGAGGAACCUUACCUGGACUUGACAUGCAUCUGACCGCCGUAGAGAUACGGUUUUUUAAGCUUCGGUUUAGACAGAUGCACAGGUGCUGCAUGGCUGUCGUCAGCUCGUGUCGUGAGAUGUUGGGUUAAGUCCUUUAACGAGCGCAACCCCUGCCAUCAGUUGCUACUCAUCUUCGGAUGAGGCACUCUGAUGGGACUGCCUGGGAAACCAGGAGGAAGGUGGGGAUGACGUCAAGUCAUCAUGGUCCUUAUGUCCAGGGCUACACACGUGUUACAAUGGUCGGUACAAAGGGACGCCAAACCGUAAGGUGGAGCAAAUCCCAGAAAGCCGAUCUAAGUUCGGAUUGAGGUCUGCAACUCGACCUCAUGAAGUUGAAAUCGCUAGUAAUCGCAUAUCAGCAACGAUGCGGUGAAUACGUUCUCGGACCUUGUACACACCGCCCGUCACACCACGAGAGCUGUUUGUACCCAAAGCUAUUUUAGCCAACCUGAAAAGGACGCGGAUAGUUAAGGUAUGAAUAGUGAUUGGGGUGAAGUCGUAACAAGGUAACC
rnacentral:rRNA from 1 species